AGCUCCUAAAUUCUAAUUCACACAGCUUCCCGCAGUCCCCAGCGCGGGACGGACUCUGAAACUAGGCAUGGGGAUCCCUGGGAAAACUUUUCUUCGUUAAAAAUCUUAGAGGACAGAGGACAAGCCUGCACUUGGUAGAGGAGCUUUCUGGUCCCAGACCCCACAGCCCUGAGGAUCCGUGUAGCCCGAGUGGUCCGGUGCCCUGGGGGCCACUUCCACGCGGUCAGGGGAAACCCGAGCCACUGCCCGGAGAGCCGCAGCCACGCCGCAGAGAGGGGAUCCUGAGAAGGUCGGAGGAGAGCAGCCCCGAAGUACUGAAAAGCUUCUGUCCUCCACCUCCUCUUCCUCCACCCCCUCCACUCCGAUCCUGGUGAAGCCUUGAAACUUGCGGUCUGGUGGGCAGAAAGUGGCUUUCCCCGGGUGCACGGUGAAGUGGGCCAGUGCUGUGCUUGAUGUUGGACCGGGGGUUCCCCUCUCUCAGCUGACCGCAAAGCCAGGCGGUGUGCCCCAGAUUCUGGGAAGCUCAGAGGCCUUUGAGGAGGUGGGCUGCUGCCCUGGCCUCAGAGAUUUAAACAAUCCAGCAGCAGUUCAGGAAUGUCCACAGGGGAAAGAGGUUGCCUGUCCUUUCACUGGCCAGUGCCUACAGCCCCCUGCCUAAAGCUGGACCCCUCUUCUCUCCCUGUCUACGUAGAGAUAACUAAGAGAUCCCCAAAUCUAAGGAAUUGCACCUUGUCCACAUUUUUCUACUGUUAGAUAAUGCUAGAUUGAGGCUGAAGAGGCCUUGGUCAGAUUUGUCUGAGUAGCAGAUGGAGGCCUUUAUGCCUUGUCUGUCUGUCCUUCUGUUAAAAAGUGGUUCCACCCAAGUCCCCUGUUCUCACUGCCUUCCCACCCUGAGCAGAUGUGAUCACAAAACUUCCUCUGCUGUGCAGUUUCAAUUAACAGACACACCCUGUACCUGAAUGACUCAAGAGAGACAGAAGAAACAAACAACAGACCCCUACCUUCUGGGAUUUUAUGAGCUUGCAAAAAAAAAAAAAAAGUAGCUGUUAAUUCAUAUUUGCCUAGAAGCACUCAUUGACAGUUUCCUACCUUACCUACCCACAAACUACAGAUCUUGCAAAACAAUAUGGAAACCAAGAUAACAGCCGUCCAGUCUCCUCCAGAAAAGACAGAGUUUGAGACUGGUUUCAUUUGAAAGAGGAGAUAACUUCUGUCUAUCGCAGUGCUGCAGAGGCAAGGAGUUAGCUUCCCCUUCUCCCACUAACAAUUUAUGAGGUCUUUAAAGGGGAACUGUGCACUUUGUUGUCCCAAGAUGUGAUGGCCACUGUCCCAUGAAGCAAUGGAGUAGCAUGGGCCGUUCUACCCAUGAGCAAUCCCUCAGCCCUGAGAGACCUGUAGAUUGUCCAGGUAGUAUGUGGCAGAGAUGGGUCACCAAAUUUAAGUUGUCUUGCCUGUCUGCUCAAAUGCUGUCAAUCAGCUUAGAACUUCACAUUCCUUUCCUGAACAGAGGAGACUUCUGCACUUGGACUCCUUACAUUUGUACUUCUGAUUGUACUUGUCUUUACAUGUGCAUAAAACUAUUACUAAUGUA
rnacentral:lncRNA from 1 species